rnacentral:tRNA from 6 species
GGCAAGAUGGCCGAGUGGUUAAGGCGUUACGUGAGUUUCCGCUGCAGUCAUAUCUCUUGUAAUUUAUACUAACAAAUCAACAGGUUUAGGAUAUGUAUAACAAUACGUUAUAUAUAAACGAACCGUAAUGCGAAAGCGCGUGGGUUCGAAUCCCACUCUUGUCA